GCGCUUGUAGCUCAGGGGAUAGAGCAACGGUUUCCUAAACCGUAGGUCGGAGGUUCAAAUCCUCUCAGGCGCA
rnacentral:tRNA from 1 species